GACGAACGCUGGCGGCGUGCCUAAUACAUGCAAGUAGAACGCUGAAGAGAGGAGCUUGCUCUUCUUGGAUGAGUUGCGAACGGGUGAGUAACGCGUAGGUAACCUGCCCUGUAGCGGGGGAUAACUAUUGGAAACGAUAGCUAAUACCGCAUAACAAUGGAUGACACAUGUCAUUUAUUUGAAAGGGGCAAUUGCUCCACUACAAGAUGGACCUGCGUUGUAUUAGCUAGUAGGUGAGGUAACGGCUCACCUAGGCGACGAUACAUAGCCGACCUGAGAGGGUGAUCGGCCACACUGGGACUGAGACACGGCCCAGACUCCUACGGGAGGCAGCAGUAGGGAAUCUUCGGCAAUGGGGGCAACCCUGACCGAGCAACGCCGCGGGAGUGAAGAAGGUUGUCGGAUCGUAAAGCUCUGUUGUAAGUCAAGAACGAGUGUGAGAGUGGAAAGUUCACACUGUGACGGUAGCUUACCAGAAAGGGACGGCUAACUACGUG
rnacentral:rRNA from 1 species